rnacentral:lncRNA from 1 species
UGACACUCAGUGCAAUAAGCAGGGCUUUUUUUUUUUCCUUCUUUUUCAGUUUUUGAUGCCUGUUUAUAACGUGAAACUUUUCUUGCAGCUUGUUACAGUUACCAUUUUUAAAUACUUUUUUUCCUCCUUAAAGAUAACAGAACAAAAUAUGCAGCCAAAGAAAUGAUCCUUACUUUUGCAUAUUUUGCACCUUGACUUUUUUAUUCUUUUGCUGUCAGUAUUUUAUGGUGGUUAUUAUUAUGAUGGUGAUGCUGAUAGCUGUAUGCAUAUGUACAAAUAAAUACAUUUUCAAAUGAUGGCAGUGGAAGGUUUUCCUGGAGAAUGAAGUGCGGUUCGGUUUCCUUGUCAACGGAAGAUGAAGUGAACAACUGAACAUCUCCCCAGUGCAGGCUUGCUGGACCUUCCCUCCUGCUCUGGACCUCUCCCUUGGUGCCGGCACAACUCAGAAGGAUUGCAUCAGGAAAGUAUUUUUACAGAAGUGGAGUAAUAGAAUUGACAUCUUUGAAGCUAGGAACUUCCUAAUGAAAAGUUUGAAGUCUGAAAGGAUCUAUUUCAAAUUAAAUGUUUUGGAAGGUAAGACAAAGUACGUUUCAUGAUAUUGAAUCCUACAUGUAACAUGCAAGUUUUAAUGUAAAUUACUUUAGUCUUCUGAUAUUAGACUUAUUCCAUAA